rnacentral:rRNA from 1 species
UACAGAGGGUGCAAGCGUUAAUCGGAAUUACUGGGCGUAAAGCGCGCGUAGGUGGCUAAGUAAGAUGGGUGUGAAAUCCCCGGGCUCAACCUGGGAACUGCAUCCAUAACUGUUUGGCUAGAGUACGGUAGAGGGUAGUGGAAUUUCCUGUGUAGCGGUGAAAUGCGUAGAUAUAGGAAGGAACACCAGUGGCGAAGGCGACUACCUGGACUGAUACUGACACUGAGGUGCGAAAGCGUGGGGAGCAAACAGG